rnacentral:rRNA from 1 species
AGAGUUUGAUCCUGGCUCAGGGUGAAUGCUGGCGGCGUGGAUAAGUCAUGCAAGUCAAGGGGGCCCGCAAGGGCAACCGGCAAACGAGGUAGUAACACGUAGGUAGACCCCCCAGAGUCGGGCAUAGCCAGCCGAAAGGUUGGGUAAUUCCCGAUAGUCCCGAAAGGGUAAAGGUUUUUCGCUCUGGGGAGUUGCCUGCGUAGUAUCAGCUAGUUGGUAGGGUAAUGGCCUACCAAGGCUACGACGCUUAGGGGAGCUGAGAGGCUGACCCCCACCGAUGGAACUGCGACACGGUCCAUACUCCUACGGGGAGGCUGCAGACGAGAAUAUUCCGCAAUGGGCGAAAGCCUGACGGAGCGACGCCGCGUGAUUGAUGAAGUGCUUCGGUACGUAAAGAUCUUUUAUCGGGGACGAAGUUUAUUGACGGUACCCGAUGAAUAAGGGGCUCCUAACUCUGUG